GCCGGGCGUGGUGGCGGGCGCCUGUAGUCCCAGCUACUCGGAGGCUGAGGCAGGAGAAUGGCGUGAACCUGGGAGGCGGAGGUUGCAGUGAGCCAAGAUUGUGCCACUGCAACCUCUGCCUCCUGGGUUCAAGUGAUUCUCCUGCCUCAG
rnacentral:sRNA from 1 species